GAAAGCUUUGGAACAGAUUCUGUGCUAUUUGAAAGGAGCUGCAAUAUAGCAAUCAUGAACAUUCAAAUACUGAAUGCUUUUUAGAUGCAGACUGGGUAGGUUCAAAGGUUGAUAGGAGGUCAAUGACAGGAUAUUGCGCUUUUUUUGGACGAAAUUUGCGUCAUGAAGCAGUAAGAAACAAAAUAUGAUUUCUCACUCUAGUGCUAAAUCAGAAUAUUGAGCUAUGGCACAAUCUGUGUGUGAAGUAAUAUGGGUACAAUAGUUAAAAGAUGAGGUUAGCUUUAAAACCUCAUUGCUUGCUAAAUUGUGGUAUGAUAAUCAAGUUGUACUUCAUAUUGCUUCUAACCCAGUGUUUUAUAAGCAAAACAAACAUAUCAAUAUUGUAUUGAUUGUCACUUCGUUCGCAAAAAGAUUCAACAUAUCAAUAUUGUAUUGAUUGUCACUUCGUUCGCAAAAAGAUUC
rnacentral:misc_RNA from 1 species